UACAGAGGUCUCAAGCGUUGUUCGGAUUUACUGGGCGUAAAGGGAGCGUAGGCGGUUUGGUGUGUCGAAUGUGAAAUCCCACAACUCAACUGUGGAAUGGCAUUCGAAACUACCAAGCUAGAGUACUGGAGAGGAGAGCGGAAUUCUUGGUGUAGCGGUGAAAUGCGUAGAUAUCAAGAGGAACACCGGUGGCGAAGGCGGCUCUCUGGACAGAUACUGACGCUGAGGCUCUAAAGUUAGGGGAGCAAACAGG
rnacentral:rRNA from 1 species